ACCAGCUUCACUCUGGGAAAGGCAGCAGCCCCACUAGCAUUUACCUGGUUGAAGCAGAGGUGAGGGUUGUAGAAAUUGACCUGCAGGAUGGUCCCAAGGAAUGGCAAAGAGGUUGGCCCAGGACCCAACCUUAGGACACAGGAGUUACACGACUCCACCAGAGGGAGAGAAGAUACCUGGCAGACCUAAGAUUGAAGAAGAGAGCACUGAAAGAAACUGGGAGGAGUUAAAGACCAACGUGACUACAACCUGGAUACCUAUUAUCAGCAGCAGCAUUAUCAUCAUCAUCAUCAUCAUGUUGUACAGCUAGAGUGACACCUUACAUUUAGAUGCUACUGGAAUACAGGAAAUAAAACAUGCACAUGAGGAUUCUUGUUGCUUUUCAAAUAAAGAGGAUAAAAUAUGUGAUAAGGCUGUCUCAUGACAAGGUGAGGGAGUCCAGAUCCAGGGGUCCAUGGGCUAGAUCCAGUCGAUGGGCCAUACAUUGCCACGGCAUAACAUAUUCAGACCUGUAGAACUGUAAGGAAUGAACUACAGACAGUUUCCUUGUUUACCAGCUCUUCCAUGUUGACUAG